rnacentral:lncRNA from 1 species
AUGAUCUCAGUAAUUGGCUUGCUGCUUUGCUUUACCAGUGAAAACUUGACAAAGAAGCAGAGGCUCUUCCAUCCUGACAGGGUGGUGGUAAUCAUAGGGGGCUUGUGCAUGGAAACCAUCAGGAGAAAGCACAUUAGCAGAGACUUUGUUGAGAGAUUCCAACAAAGAGAAUUCCUAACCAUGGUACUGGUAAAUCAUCUGCUCUUAUCAACGUCCCUCUGCCCUGCACGGAAGGGGGUGGCUUGGUCCUGACUCAGACUCUCCUCGAGCUCAUCCAUAACGUGGACUAUGGAAUGUUCUCUACCAGGUGAAAUUCUCCCUCCCCUUGAGUCUGA